rnacentral:rRNA from 1 species
UAACGUCCGUCGUGAAGAGGGAAACAACCCAGACCGCCAGCUAAGGUCCCAAAGUCAUGGUUAAGUGGGAAACGAUGUGGGAAGGCCCAGACAGCCAGGAUGUUGGCUUAGAAGCAGCCAUCAUUUAAAGAAAGCGUAAUAGCUCACUGGUCGAGUCGGCCUGCGCGGAAGAUGUAACGGGGCUAAACCAUGCACCGAAGCUGCGGCAGCGACGCUUAUGCGUUGUUGGGUAGGGGAGCGUUCUGUAAGCCUGUGAAGGUGUGCUGUGAGGCAUGCUGGAGGUAUCAGAAGUGCGAAUGCUGACAUAAGUAACGAUAAAGCGGGUGAAAAGCCCGCUCGCCGGAAGACCAAGGGUUCCUGUCCAACGUUAAUCGGGGCAGGGUGAGUCGACCCCUAAGGCGAGGCCGAAAGGCGUAGUCGAUGGGAAACAGGUUAAUAUUCCUGUACUUGGUGUUACUGCGAAGG